CCUACGGGUGGCAGCAGUGGGGAAUAUUGCACAAUGGGCGAAAGCCUGAUGCAGCAACGCCGCGUGAGCGAUGAAGGCCUUCGGGUCGUAAAGCUCUGUUCUCAAGGAAGAUAAUGAGCGUACUUGAGGAGUAAGCCCCGGCUAACUACGAGCCAGCAGCCGCGGUAAUACGUCGUGGGAUCGCGUUAUCCGGAAUUACGGGGCUAAAAGGGUGCGUGGGUGGUUUCUUAAGUCAGAGGUAAAAGGCGAGGGCUCAACCGUAGUAAGCCUUUGAAACUGCGGAACUUGAGUGCAGGAGAGGAGAGUGGAAUUCCUGGUGUAGCGGUGAAAUGCGUAGAUAUUAGGAGGAACACCAGUUGCGAAGGCGGCUCUCUGGACUGUAACUGACGCUGAGGCACGAAAGCGUGGGGAGCAAACAGGAUUAGAUACCCUAGUAGUC
rnacentral:rRNA from 1 species